rnacentral:tRNA from 1 species
GCCUGGUUGGCUCAGUGGUUGAGCAUCUGCCUUCAGGUCAGGGCAUGAUCCCAGGGUCUGGGAUCAAGUCCUGCAUCAGGCU